UCUGGUCUCUUCUGCCCUGUCUUUGCCUUUUGUCCCCUCGUUCAGCUCCUCCGUCCUCUGCUGUGUAUUGCAGGGGACGAGCUGUCAGUGACUUUCCUUGACAGCCCUGCCUCUUCUCUGCCCCGUUUGCCUCUUGCCUCCCAGUGUGUGUAAGAGUUUCUUCCCCUGCGUGUGCAUCUGUUUUCCUCCCUGAGGCUUUCUUGGGUUCUCUCUGCUUCUGUCUGCUUCUGCUUCUGGAGGGGAGGGGGUGUCUCUCUCUCUUCCCAUCCUUCUCACCUGUGCAUGGCACCUGCCCUCGCAGCUGGAGGAUUUCCUUCUUCCCCACCCCAGCUCAGGUAGGGCAGGAUGGGGAGGGCCUCUGUGACCAUGCAGUGGCUGCUCCUCACUCUUCCCCCGUUUCUAUCACACAGAGAGUUCCUUUCCUAGGGAGAAAGGGCCCUGCUGUCCCCCCCUGGAGGGCUGGAGAUGGUGGGACUCACUGCUUGGGGCUGACCCCUGCUGAGGCCCAGCAGCACCUCACCAGGUCUGUACACUCUCCCUCUGAGGAUGCUCUGCUUACCCCCAUUUCAGAGCUGAGAGGCAUUCUGGCUCAGAGAGAGAGGUGACUGCAUCCUCACACACAGGUCGCUGGGAUUGAGCUCGGGUCUUCUGGUUUACCCUCUUUGGCCUGCUGCCCUUCACCAAGUCAAGUAGACAGAUCUCUGUGCUGGGAGACCAGGGUCUUGGGCCUGGCUCUGUCCCCAGUAGGGCAGCUCAUCUUCCUUGUCUGAGACUCGCUUUUCCCUCCCUGGCAGUGGGAAAGUACCUCUUCUCUGCCCUGCCAGCCUAACCCGUUCUCGUGGACAUGAAAUGACAUCGCAUCCACCGGAUGGGCAAGUGCUCGCCUAACAGCCUAUGGAGGAAGAAGGGUGCAGAGCCGAGCACAGCCCCUCAGAGGGCUCAGAAGUCAGUGGCCACGUUCCUCUGCUCAUGUUUGAGCCACCACAGCGUUUGGCCUGGUGCUAACCUCAAAGCAGACACUCUGCAGAGCCUUCAUGAAUGGGAGCCGGCGGCUUGUGGAGGGAAGCAAAGGGCAGCCGCAGACCUGCAUUGACAAGCCGACAAGCUGUGGGAUUUGGGGCGAGCCCCCGAGCCUCUCUCUCUUUCUCUCUCUCAGGGCUUUGGUUCCCCCGCCUUUGGCAAUGAGGAGGUUGGGCUGGAUCGUCCCUAAGGAUCCUCCCAGCUCUGACAGCUCUGAAGUGGGAAUGAAUGAAGUGCUAGUGUUCUUUCUCA